UACAGAGGUGGCAAGCGUUGCUCGGUAUCACUGGGCUUAAAGGGCGCGUAGGCGGUGCGGUGCGGUUUCGGUGAAAUCCCUCGGCCCAACCGAGGAACAGCCGGGGCUACGGCCGCGCUAGACGGCAUCAGGGGACAGUGGAACUCCCGGUGGAGCGGUGAAAUGCGUAGAUAUCGGGAGGAACACCUGAGGCGAAGGCGGGCUACUGGGCCGAUACUGACGCUGAGGCGCGAAAGCCAGGGGAGCAAACGGG
rnacentral:rRNA from 1 species